GAUAUCAUAUUUCACGAACUCUUUGUCCCGAAUGGUAUAUUUUCUGACUGGUAUACAUUUCCAAAACAAUAUAUUUCCGAAUAUGGUGGACAAAAUUAAAUAAACAGCAAAUACUACGUAUUUUUUUUUUCCAAUUGUUAAAUCAGCUCGUAUCUGGGAGAUAUUGGUUUUACCAGGUAACAACGGUUAACUGUGGUCGAUACGGG